UNGAGCUUUGUGUCAGGUGCAGGAAUGAG
rnacentral:piRNA from 1 species